GAUGGGAACAAAGAUGGCGGGAAAUUUGCCCAAUAUUUUUGUUCGAACUCGAUCAACAGCGAUUCAGACCCUUUAGUACGCUUGAUGUAGAGUUGUAUAGGAAGGAAACACUUGAGUUGUGAAGUCACCAAUUGCUGAAGUACAAAAAGUAACCAGACACAGAUGGGGUCAUAUGAGGACAGUUAUGAGUUGGAGGGGUCGAUGACUCCGCCCCUGUCUCCAUGUGAACCGAUGAUGAUUGACAGCUAUGACCACCAUCCCCCUACAAGUACAGACUUCACACAGGAGGCAGACAGUGGCUGUUCCCUGCAGCUGACUUGCUUUAAGUGCCAUGGAGAAGUCACUACAGAAGGAAGCCUGCCUCCUCACAGGAACACUUACAUCUGGUCAGGUGUGCU